CACACACACACACACUGUGGGUGUGUCAUGUUGUUACCUUAACUUCCAUUACAUAAGACUAAAGUAUAGUUACCGGUGGCACGGUAUGUUCACACUUCAGAGACAUCUGGAUCGUAUGGGGAAAGGAAACUAAGAGUCCAAGAUGGCGAAUGGACCGUCCCUGUCCACUGUCACACGCUCCCUCUCACUGUUGGACGUUCUCCAUGCAAAUCAGUUUAAAGGAAAGUCUUUCAAUCCAGAAAUACUUGAGGAGACGGAGGAAAACUUUUACAGAGGGGCCCCACCCGAAUGGUUAAACUUUCACAUCAGUGAACAGGCAGAGUUAGAUGGCACCGGAUCUCCUUUCAUUAAACGAGAUGGAUACAUUAAACUUGAAAAUCAAAUUCACAAGUUGAGAAAACACCCUGGAAUAUCAACAGUUAAACUGUUCCACCAGCCAGGAUGUGGAGGGACAACACUGGCCAUGAAGGUCUUGUGGGACUUUAGGAAAACUUUAAGGAGUGCUGUUUUAACAGGCUCAACCUCGGACAUCACAAAGGUUGCAGAGGAGGUGGUCCACCUUUUCACAGCAGGCAGUCAAGGUGACCAGAAGACCGUGCUGCUGUUGGUGAAUGGUGUGCAAGAUUUGGAAGAUCUACAAGUAAGCAUUAUGAGGACGAUUGCUAAUCAGAAGAUAGUCACCCGUAUGCCUGUGGUGGUUUUACUCAGCUGUAUUAGAGAAGAUGCAGAUUUAAAGAGUAAUGAUGUCUUCCUUCAAGAAGUGCUUUCUGACUCAGAGAAGAAUCAUUUUAAUGACAAAAAGGCAGAGCUCAACAAGCAGUACGGUGAUAAAUGCCAACGAUUCCAUGGCUUUAACAUAAUGCAAAGCAAUUUUUCUGAGGCUUACAUCCAGGAGGCGUGCUCUGUAUUCAAAACCAUCAAAGAAACAGGAAUACAAGAGAAAACCCUCCUUGCUGCCUUCCUUUCCCUGCUGAAUGCAUAUGUACCAGACUCUUAUCUCCUUGAGUCUCAGUGCCUGGAUGUGUUCAAACAUGCCAACUACAGCCAUAGAGACAUAUCACUGGAAGACAUAUCACUGGAAGACAUGCUGGACGACUUUAGCCAUCUCAUUAUCACUAUCCAACAAGAUGGUUCUGAAAAAAGAGUCCGCAUGGCCCACCCUCUGAUAGCACAGUGUUGUACUGAAUUGAUGGCUGAAGCAGGUGUGACCAGAAGUGACACAGCGAAACACCUCUUGACAUGUUUGUGCAGAGAUAAAGUCCCUCGAUCUUUGGCUGCUUUUGUGAAAUACAUGCUAACCAAAAGAAGACUAAAAGAAAAGGGAAGAGAAGAGAACCCAAUACAUCCUACAGAGAUGAAAGAGGAGAUAGAUUCAUUUUCUAGACUGAUUCUACAUAUUCAAACAAAGGAGGACGACUCUCAGUGUGUAUCACUUUUAGAGAUGGCAACAAAUAUGUUUGAUCAAAAUCCGUUUUUUCCACAAGCACUUGCUCGUUUUCAUUACACAGUACUAAGAGACUACGAUCAGGCAGAAAUGUGGGCAAAGGAGGCAAAGCAAAGAGAUCUCCAAAACUCAUUUGUUGCUGAUACACUGGGCCAAGUCCAUAAGAACCGUCUGAAGAACCUGAGGCGACCGGCCCAACCAGGAGGCAUUUUGGCUCUUGCCUUAAAGGCCAUUCAAGCAUUCGAAGACGAAGAAAGACUUGCCGAAGAUGAAGUUGGGACAAAGGUGAAAAGAAAUGUCCAUGACUCACGCUUCUUUAACAGCAGAGGGAUGUUUGGUUUCCUGCAGGUCUGCAAUCUUGUGUAUGACCUACUUGUCAGUCAGAACCCAACUUGGAGAGGAGUUCUCACGAAGAAGGUGUCUUUGGGCUCGGCCCUGCCAUCUCUUGGAGAUCGCUCACUUCUAAGAUUCAAUGAUCUCAUAAACAGACUCAGAGAUGCAGUUGAGAAAAAAUGUGCUUUUUUUGACGGAUUUCUGACUUACUCCAAGCCUGACAUAAAGAAAGACGAUCCAGAAUACAUUCAAGAGAAACCUCGGCUUGCUACAGGAAGUAUGUUGGAGACUCCACAUCCAGCCAUUUGAAAGAAAAAGGCGCUGAUCUGAUCCAGAAGCUUAAACUCAAACAGGCUGGCACAACUACGGGAGUCCUCUCAUGUCUUGACAGAGAAUGCACUGAAUCGGACCUUAAGGAAAUAACUACAUUGUGGGAGGAAAUCUGUCUUCAUAAAGAUCCGGACACAGCUAUGGUCAACAACAUCUUCGCUCACAUCAUGUUAAGAAAUAUGGGAGCACCAGAGUCUGAUUGCAAACAUUUAACUGCCUUCAAACAGGAAAUGUACCUCAUGGAUAAAUCUGAGGCCCAUAUGUUAGCCCUCCUCUUGCACUGGCCUACAGGCAAUGAAGACGCAUGCAUCCUUGACCUCAGUGCAAUGAUUAAGCGUACGCAAGACCUGUAUAAACAAGCAUAUGCGAAACACUUUCGUACAAGGUACCUUCGCCCUCUGUUUUUCCUCGGAAAAGGUCAAGAACUGAACAGGAUAGUUCACAGAACUGUCCUAGAGGGGUCGGCCCUUCAGGCAAUGAAAAAUUGGAGUGAUGAGAAGAUUUUCCAAGAUCCAUGGGUCAAAGAACACCUUCUUAAAGUUCGAGGGGAGAUACGAGAGUACAGACUCUUUGCAACUGUUGAUGGGAAAGAGAUCGAGGUGGUUGCAAACCUCCAAAACAGCCUCUGGAGAAAACGCAAGGUUUCCUUCUACCUUGGAUUCACCAUCAAAGGUCCUGUAGCCUUUGCCAUCCAGACUGAAACUGCAGACACGAAGGAACUACUCUCAGAGAUGGAUUCCUCCAAACCUUGUGGGUUGUUGAAGUUUGGAGCUUGUGGCGAUGAAAUG